ACAGCUUUAGUACCCAGCUGCAGUCGCACCUGCGUUCAAGCGGGGCUACCUAGGUGAAUGUCGUUUCUCUUCAUCUAAAAAAGCAUGAAUACCCACACACUGAUCACUUUUCUGGUUGUGAAUACAAUAAUUUCUGAAAGUCUCGCAGGAGACCAAAAGAAGACUUCGGUCCCGAACUUGAGUGGAUCUAAUCAAGGCAAACAAUUGCCUGGAGCGGAAGGUGGACACAAUGGUCCCGAAGAAACAGUGGACAUAGUCUUGGGAGACUGCGAUCAGUGCUCCUGCAAGCUCAUUUUACGAGAGGAAUCUGAAGAGGAUGACAACAAAUGCCAAAAAAUAAUGGACAUUCGGUGUACGUGUAACGGAAAUCAUUGUACAAGCAAAGAAAUAUCAAACUGCUUGGCUGACAUGGCUGACACGUCUUAAUAAAAAGAAACGUUGGGGUUGCGGACCACUCAAUAAAGGUUUUCCAUGGGUGAGUUUACAAUAUUCAACAAUACUACUUUGUAUUGCAAUGCAAAGGUUCGGAUACGAUAUGGACAUAUGGUGACAAAAUUCACUGUACUUGAAUAAAACUAUCUCGCUCGCCAUGUCCUCCUCUCUCUCACACUG